GAUGAACGCUGGCGGCGUGCCUAAUACAUGCAAGUCGAGCGAACAGAUAAGGAGCUUGCUCCUUUGACGUUAGCGGUGGACGGGUGAGUAACACGUGGAUAACCUACCUAUAAGACUGGGAUAACUUCGGGAAACCGGAGCUAAUACCGGAUAACAUAUUGAACCGCAUGGUUCAAUAGUGAAAGGCGGCUUUGCUGUCACUUAUAGAUGGAUCCGCGCCGUAUUAGCUAGUUGGUAAGGUAACGGCUUACCAAGGCAACGAUACGUAGCCGACCUGAGAGGGUGAUCGGCCACACUGGAACUGAGACACGGUCCAGACUCCUACGGGAGGCAGCAGUAGGGAAUCUUCCGCAAUGGGCGAAAGCCUGACGGAGCAACGCCGCGUGAGUGAUGAAGGUCUUCGGAUCGUAAAACUCUGUUAUCAGGGAAGAACAAAUGUGUAAGUAACUGUGCACAUCUUGACGGUACCUGAUCAGAAAGCCACGGCUAACUACGUG
rnacentral:rRNA from 1 species